UUAUGUUAGAGCAUUUGUGGCGGGCACUUCAAAAGGAGUCAGGAAGGAUGCCAGGUACUCUGCUGAAAGGAGUCUCAGCACAUGAAUCCGAGCUGCGUGAGCUUUCUGGACGUGAAGGGACUUCUACUUCACAGCAGGGCCCCCAACAGGCCUCUACACCAGAGGAGGAGGUUUCCACCUGGCUAAAGUAGUUCCCCACAGCCUGGGCCGAGACAGGGGGCAUGUGGCUGACUGCCCACCAGCACCCCAUCUGGAUAUAGCUUAAGCCUGGAAUCCUACCGGCCAGAGUUAAACAGUACCCUAUGUCCCAGGAGGCCAGGCUGGGGAUCACUCCUCAUAUCCGACGCCUGAGUGAUCAAGGCGUCUUGGUGCCUUGCCGAUCGGCUUGGAAUAACCCCCCUUGCUGGUCAAAAAGCCAAAUUCAACCAACUAUCAGCCAGUCUAGGACUUGAGAGAGGUAAACAAACAGGUUAUGGAUGAUCCAACAGUACCUAAUCUUUACACCCUCCUGAGUUCCUUGCCACCUUCCAGAAACUGAUACACGGUGUUAGACUUGAAAGAUGCCUUCUUUAGCCUGCCUCUGGCCAAAGAGAGCCAGCCCUUCUUUCCUUUUGAAUGGCAAGACCAGGAGAUCGGCUUCAACGGGCAGCUGACUUGGACCCGCCUGCCGUAGGGAUUCAAAAAUUUGCCCACCCUGUUUGAUGAGGCUCUCCAUGAAAACCUGGGUGAGUACCGGCUGGAACACCCCCAGCUCACCCUAUUACAAUAUGUGGAUGACAUCUUGGUAGCUGCUGCUGAUGCCUCGCAGUGUCAGCAGGGAACUAGAGACCUCCUGGCAACCCUAGGUAGACUGGGAUAUCGGGCAUCUGCCAAGAAAGCCCAAAUAUGCUGGAGAGAGGUCAGCUAUUUGGGAUACAUAUUAAAAGAAGGACAAAGAUGGCUUACAGGUGCCAGGAAGAAAACAGUGCUAAAAAUACCCACCCCUCAGUCCCAGAGGGCAGUGAGGGAGUUCCUGGGGUCAGCAGGAUUCUGCCCCUUGUGGAUCCCAGGAUUUACUGAACUGGUGAGGCCCCUCUAUGAAGUCACAUGGGAACGCAAGCCCUUCGUUUGGACAGAGGUCCAGGAAGAGGCUGUCAGUAAGAUCAAACAGGCCCUCCUAGCCGCCCCAGCCCUUAGGACUUCCGGAUGUUGCUAAGCCUUUUCAUCUUUUCAUAGAUGAAAAGAAGGGAGUGGCCAAAGGAGUCCUAACUCAGACUCUGGGGCCCUGUAACAGGCCGGUGGCAUAUCUAUAAAAAAAACUGGACCGAGUUGCCGCUGGGUGGCUGCCAUGUUUGUGAAUUAUAGUAGCCAUGGCCCUUCUAGUCAAGGAUGUGGACAAGUUAACCUUAGGACAAGAAUUAUGUAUCACAACCCCUCAUGCCAUCGAGGGAGUUCUCAAGCAGCCACCCGACCGCUAGUUGAGCAAUGCCUGGAUGACUCACUAUCAAAGCUUACUCCUUAAGCCCCCAAGGAUGCAUUUUCUCCCAAGCACAGCCCUCAAUCCAGCCACACUGCUGCCUGAUCCAGACCUGGACAUGCCCUUGCACGAUUGCGUGGGAAUCCUGAGCCAAGUGCACGGGCUCAGAAAAGACCUGACCAAUCAGCUGCUUCCUGAUGCAAAAGCCACUUGGUUUACUGAUGGCAGCAGUUUUGUGCAAAAUGGACAGAGGUAUGUGGGGGCAGCCGUAGUAACAGAAAGUGAAACUGUCUGAGCGGCAGCUCUACCUGCGGGGACUUCAGCCCAGAGAGCUGAGUUGAUAGCCUUGACCGAGGCUCUUAAAUUGGGCAAGGACAAAAAAUUAAAUGUAUAUAUGGAUAGCCCGUAUGCCAUUGCCACAGCCCAUGUACAUGGAGCCAUCUACCAGGAGGGGGGGCUGCUCACAACUGUGGGAAAGCCUAUUAAAAAUACACAAGAAAUCCUAGACUUACUGGCUGCCCUAUGGCUACCCAAGAAACUGGCUAUCAUCCAUUGCCCUGGGCACCAGAAGACAGAUAGGCCUAUGGCCUGGGGAAACCAGAGGGCAGACCAGGUUGCCAAGGAGAUGGCCCUGAAAGCAACCUUAGUCCUGGCUAUCCAUCUGCUGGACCCAGGGCCACCCGUGCUACCAGACCAACCUGAUUAUUCUCAGAAAGAUCUGAAGCUGAUACACAAACUUCCCAUGACCCAAAAGAUUGAUGCCUGGUGGCAUACAGGGGACUGCAGGAUUAUCCUUCCAAGUAGCCUAGCCAAAGAUCUUCUCAGUCAUAUCCACCGGACCACCCACCUGGGCACUCGAAAGACAGAAGACCUCCUAAGAAACGCCCAUCUCAAGGUUCUGAACCUCUGAUCACAUGUCGAUCCAAUUGCCUCCAAAUGUCUUAGCUGUAGGCUGACGAAUGCUGAGAACCUUUCCAAAGAACAGGGGACCCGGUUGAGAGGCUCCAAGCCCAGAGCCCACUGGGAAAUGGACUUUACAGAGAUAAAACUGGGCAAAUAUGGUUAUAAAUAUCUUUUAGUUCUGGUAGAUACUUUUUCAGGAUGGACUGAAGCGCAUCCCACUGAAGCAUAUGACUGUACACACAGUCGCCAAGCGGCUACUGGAAGACAUUCUUCCAAGGUAUGGUGUGCCAGCUCUUCUGAGCUCAGACAACGGACUGGCCUUCACCUCUCAGGUAACGCAAGAGUUAGCCAAAAUAUUGGGGGCAAAAUGGAAAUUACACCUUGCGUACAGGCCCCAAAGCUCUGGACAGGUAGAGAGGAUGAAUAGAACCCUAAAAGAGACCCUUACUAAAUUAACCAUGGAGACUGGCAGGGACUGGGUGGCUCUCUUUCCCUUUGCUCUAUAUAGGGUGCGAAACUCACCCUACCUGUUAGGUUUAACUCCAUUUGAGAUCAUGUUUGGAAGACCCUCCUCCCAUCCUCCCCAAUUUAAAAGCUGAGUUAAUUGCUGAGUUUGAUAACCAUAAAUUGCUUGAUUCUCUUGAGGCUGUGGCACAUGCCAACAAGGACAUAUGGCCCUGUCUGAAAGUUAUUUAUGAGACUGCUCCUCCUCCUACCCCACACAACUACCAGCCUGGCGAUUGGGUCUAUGUCUGCAGACACUGCCGUGAGACCCUAGAACCUCGCUGGAAAGGACUGUACAUGGUGCUCCUGACUACCUCGACUGCAGUGAAAGUAGACAGAGUUACCGCCUGGAUUCAUCACACCCAUGUCCGGCUUGCGAGCCCACACCCAGACCCAGACGACCUUCGCCCUCCACUGAUCACUGCACUGGAUCCCAAAAAUGGAAAGUCCACAAGGACACGGACAACCCUCUCAAGCUAAGACUUUAUUGUUCUUAAUGGCUUCUAUAUUGUCCUCUGGCAACGCUCACCCUAACCUUCCCAACACUAUGCUCUGGAGAUUCUCUGUCAGGGAAACAUACCAGGGAGAAACCAGGUGACUGACACAGCCAACUGCCCCCUAGUGGGCUGCCGAGAGCCCCUAGACAUCAUAGUGUACCCCAAUGCCAGUAGCCACACAAAUGAUGAAUAUGUCUGCUUUCCUUAUUGGCAGACAGACUCGUCAUGUUUAAAAGACAGCACCCUCUUUGGAGGGUGCUGCUACUUCUGCAAGCUAGAGACAGGCCUAACCUGGGGACAAAUAGGGAUUACAGGAAAGGAGAGGUCCAUAUUCCUAUUGGAAAAUGGCCAACCUUAUUCCCGAACAUAUGUUGCAGAUCCCUGGAAUGAAUGUUGGCAUACUGGGGUAGUAGGAAAGUUCUACCCAGGGGGAUUCACCAGUUACCCCACUGCUGAUUUCCACAUUUCCCACCAGCUUGUGCUGGAAGCUCAGCCUAUACUGACCCAUCAUAGCAUUAUUGUACAGGAAAAACAAAUGGAGGAGCAGACAAAAUCAACCAUGUCCUGGAAUCAAUAUAUACAAUAUGUGGUGGACUUUUUACCCUUCACCAACCACCCCAUUGCCUCUAAUUGCUUUCUUUGUGCAUCUAGCAAUAGACCCUUGCUGACCGCAGUACCAGUUAAUGCCACCCUCUCUAAGACUCCAGGAUAUAGCUCCUCUGACGGUCUGUUUGGUGGGCGUUCCCCUGUUUGAACAAUCACCUGACUACCCACUUUGCAUUUCUGGUGAAGCCAUUCCUGCCCAUCACAAGUGCCUUGCUAAUGUGACUCUUUCUGGAACUGCUUGCGUCAGUCUUCCCCUUUUUCUCUGGUAUGGGGGAGACAUUUUGACCUGCGUUAAUUCCUCUCAGCCUGCCUUUUGUGUUCCAGUAAUCAUCACCCCCCAGGUGUACUUGUUCGAGGAGGAAGAGGCUGCUUUUCUCCUCCAUGACCGAUUGCAGAGAGAAAUCUUCAUUCCCCUGUUAGUGGGUCUGGGACUCGCCCUCUCAGUAGGCUCCCAGAGUGCGGUGACUGCUGCUGUCGUUCAAACCAGUCAUCUGGCAGGGGACUUCCAGGACAAGUUAGACCAGGCAGUGGCGUCCACAGCCAACAGCCUUGAGUCCCUCCAACGACAAAUGAAUUCACUUGCAGGAGUGGUGCUUCAGAACAGUGGAGGAAGAUGAUUUGUCUCUGCUGACAUUGCUGCUGGAGGAGAAUGAGUCAGCCUUGGAUUGUAAUUCAGAAGAGACUAACUCCUUAUCCCUGGAAAAUGGUGAGCCAGAUGAAUUUGAUGAGCUUUUUGAAGCUGAUGGUGAUGGUGACUCUUACACACAAGAGGCUAUUGGUGGAACAGUGAUAAAAGCAGACCAGAAGGAGAAUUUGGCCACUCUCUUUGGAGAUGUAGGGGACUUAACAGUUGAUGAAGUACCUACUUUGCAAGUUGAAAACAAAGUCCUCUCUGCUUCUGCUCCCAGUCAAGAGAAAACCAAUUAGGAGUUGCAAGGCAGGAUCUUACUAUGUAACCCAGGCUGACCUCAGUCUCUGCCCAGCUCAGCCUCCUGAGAUCUGGGAUUACAGAUGAAGUAAAGAAGUUGCAAGAACAGAUGAAACUCUUACAGGAGCAGCUAAAAGCAGCAUCAGUUAAACAGCUUUCAAGUUCAGCCCUUCCACACAAAUCUGAAAGUAAGUCUCCACGGCUCUUCUCCCUUCUUAAGAAGAAAGUUCAGCACAUUCAGGAGUCAGCAUGCUUUUCUGCACAGCUUGAUAUCCCUGGUCUCCCCAGAACCAAGCAAGUGGCACGGAUGCCAAAGACUUCGACAGAAUCUAAAGGCUCACCUUCAGGGAGGACAAGUGCACCCUCCCAAUCACAAUAGGCUGUUUCCAAUAUUUUGAAGCUGAAAAGCUCAUCUUCAAGGACAGCAAGCAUAUCUUCCCAACCGCUGCAAGCUAUUCCUGACAACAAACCCAGUUGGAUGACUAGAAAUCAGAAUUCAGGCACCCUUGAGAAUUCUGGGGAACAGGUCUCACAGGGUUCCCAGGUCUCUGUGGAAGCCUUCUCAGGCUUGUGGCUCAGAAAUGAACAACAAAAAAAUGACAAGUUGGAAACUGAUCAGGCUGUCUCAGAUCAAGGAGAAGAUGGCACAUGAGAAGCUAGAAGAAGUGGACUAGGUGACAUUUGGGGUGAUACUGAAGAAAGUCACUCCUCAGAGCACUAACAGUGGAAAAACGUUUAGCAUCUGGAGACUGAAUGAUCUUCGUGACCUGACAGUAUAUCGUUGUUCUUAUUUGGAGACGUUCACAAAGAUUUCUGGAAGACAGAGCGAGGGACUGUCAUAGGGUCACUCAAUGCUAAUCCCAUGAAACCAAGAGAUGGUUCUGAAGAGGUGUGCUUAUCUAUGAUCAUCCUCAAAAGGUCUUAAUUAUGGGAGAAGCUCUGGACCUGGGGACCUGUAAAGCCAAAAAGAAGAAUGGAGAGCCGUGUACACAGAUAGUUAAUUUGGUGAUUCUCAAAUUCAUGAGACUGAUUUUUGCCAAAGAAAAGAAUCAUUAGGAACAACUUUAAAUGCUUUAGUGGUAAUGACCAAACAGGAACUGAGUUUGCUGCUUCAUAGGAAGAGUCAAUAAGAGAAUUGAAUGUGUGGUCAGUAAUUGCCAGGUUUAUAAGGGCAACAGCUGUUGCUCCUAGGAAGAAGGUUCAAACCAUUCUGACUAACCUGGUUGCGAAGGGUGCAAACUGCAUCAUCCAGGAAACAAAACAAAAACUAGGAAUUUCCCAGAAGAGCUUGUCUUGCUCUGAGGAGUUCAAAGAAUUGAUGGCCCUGCCCACAUUUGGAGCCAGAAACUUAAAACAACAUUUAGCCAAAGCCAAGGCAUCAGAGUAAUGGGAAGCUCAAAACCUGCCAUCCAGUCUAUCUCAGCAUCAGCUCUCUUGAAGCAACAGAAACAACAGAUGUUGGACAUGAGGAAGAAGAAAUCAGAAGAAACAUGGAGAUGAUGAGCGGAGUGGAUUGAACAUUUCCCACUUGGAUAAAUCACCUCUGGAAUCCUCAGAAUGUUGCUGGUUUUGAUUUAUCCAAAGCUCAAGUGAAGUCUGGAGCCCAGGUGUGCCAUGUUCAUCCCAACAACCUACCGCCCAAUCUCAAAACUCCACAGGUUGGAAGGAGCCACAACCCCAUGGAUUCCCAGGCUUGGUGGAGGCAUUUUGGAAGGGGAUGAUGUUCUCUUUUUUGAUGGGUCAUCACCACCAAGACCAAAGCUAAGUGUAGUAGCAGAAGCUAAAAAGUGUGCCUACACCUACUUUAAACCUCUGGAGACCUGCAUCAGCAAACAGCACGACUUACACUGGCAUGAUGGCAUGAAGAGGUUUUUCAGGUGUCCCUGUGGAAACAGGACUAUCUCCCUUGACAGACUCCCAAAGAAGCACUAAAGAAAUUGUGGCCUCUACAAAUGGGAAUAGGACGGAAUGCUAAAGGAGAAGACUGGUCCAAAGAUAGGGGGAGAGACCCUGUUACCAAGAGGGGAAGAACAUGCCAAGUUUCUGAAUAGUCUUAACUAACUUCAGACAUUUUUCUUCAACCCACUUCUUAUGGCUCUGGAAAAGCAAGAGAUUGAUGCUGUAUUGUCCAUUUUCCUGUUUGACACUGAGAAACAAAUGCUUGGUAAGCCCACAAGCUUUGCCUGCUUCCUUUCCUCUCUUAUGUUGUUUUGCCACCAUAUUUAACAUUGACAUUUAAGUAGGAAAUCAAGAUACCCUAGUCUUUCCUGUCCUCACUACAGUCCUGCCUUAGAGCAGUCACUCAAAUUUUUGCCCCCAAUCUGGAAGAUGAACUGAGAGCUGUGCUUCUGGGUGUCUUUGUUAAAGACUGAGUGAACUUUUUUAUUAUAGUAAAGUUCUAGUGUUAUAUGGACACCAGAAGCAAAAGAACUUAUUUGGGUCAAUUAUCUCCAUACUUCUGGACUUUGUUUCCUUAAGUGAGAAAGAUUGGCCUACUUAACCUUGAAGUAUAUCUUUCAAUGCUCAAAUUCCUGAUGACGAUUAUCAUUGCCCUUAAUAUAGUCUUAAUGUGCUGACAUUGGAAGCCACAUUCCCUUUUUAUCUGCUGUUAUUUUAGCUUUGCUCUUUGAAAUGAAGUCACUGAACCACUUUGCAUAUCAGUUCAUUGACAUAUAUGGAGAAAAAUGGCACUCUGUGCUCACAAUAUUGGGGGCUCAGAAAUAGAAAUACCUAAAACCUCGUCAUUUUUCAGUAUGCAUUUAUUUAAUUAUGGCUUAAAGAAAUUUUAACCUCCUGAUAAAAACAUAUACAUAGCUUGAGAAGAUGUGAAGCAUGACUGAAAACAAACUGUUAAGAUGGAAUCCUGUGGACUUCGGGGGGUUGCGGUUGUGCUUCAUUAUAUGUGUCAAGACUUAAAUGUCGAAACCAAUACAAACUGUCCCAACAUUUAGUUUGGGAAAUUCCACUAGCUGGAUAACCUGAUUUUUCAAACAUUACUGUAUUAGUCACUUUUCUAUUGCUGUGAUAGAAACACUGACUGGAGCAACUUAUAAAAGGAAGAGUUUGAGCUUAUGGUUCCAG